rnacentral:rRNA from 1 species
AUGUUCUGCACUUCUUUGAACUUCAUCCUCAAGACAUUGGACCCAAUUUCAUGUCAAAUAUCUGCAACUUCCAAGUUUUCUAGUGAAGUAUACCUUCAAGAGGAGCCCAGUGUCGAACUGUUCAGAGAAUAUUUUUAUUUCAACCGCCAAAAUGAGUUUACAAAUGGACCCAGCUUGGAACUUGGUGGAAUCUCAAUUCAAAGAGAAGAGAUGCCGUCUUUCCUUACGCUUGCUUGCCGAGUCACCCAAAAGAUUGGAACCGGACAUGGUUCUAUUUCCAAGGCACUUCUCCGGCUGGCGAGAAUCCACUGUUGGGUUACCGGGCCCAACGUCUUGACUCCAAACACAAUCUUCCUGAGAAGCUUACAGCUGCUGAACGUAAAAAACUCGCCCCCACCAUCACCAAGGUCAAGGCACUGCUGGGAAACGACUUAA